UAUUUCUGGCUUCUCUUCAACGCGAAUGCAUCGUUCGCCUCUAACUAAAUAUUUCCGUGGAGAGGAGCAAUGUAAUUAGUUGUAAACCAUGUUUGUUACCCUUCAAUUGGCACUUGCUCCGGCAGGAC
rnacentral:snRNA from 1 species